CCUUUGUUCUGAAAACUGCCCCUUCCCGCUGCUGCAACCCAUACCUUCUCAAAUAGCCAAUCGGAAUCGCCCUAGAUUUCGCAACCCCAGCCUUUGAGGGAAAGACCCCAGCCCUCCUUCGUUAGGUGUGCCCUUUCUCUUCCGACUCUCGCAGGCUCGGGCAGCAGCAUUCUGCAGCAGUAAAGUUUGCUUUGCAUAACUUUUCUCCGGAGUGCCGAUCUCUGCGGCACCGAGAACUUAUUUCUAACAAUUCGGAGGCUCGUUAGGGAUUCCCUUUCUCCUCUGGGGAGAAGUCCCUGAUCAUCUCGUGAGGAGACCGUCCCACUGCCUUGUUGCAGUGGCCCCAGGAGCACGGGGAUCGAGACUUCCCCCAGUGUGAGGAAUAAACCCAGACUUCCAGCAACGCGGGCGGAAAGGAUCCUCUGGACGAAGGACCAAAGGUCUUUUAGCACAGACGCCACCACUGGAGUUCCCAGUGCACCGGUACCAGCCUGGAACUUACGUCCUCAUUAAGAGUUGGAAGGAGGAAAACUCAACCGGCUUGGGAGGGACGCUAUCUAGUGCUUCUAACUACCGAGACCACAGGCCGAACCACAGAAGGAGGGUGGACUCAUCAUAUCUGAAUCAAGAACACGCUGCUACCUUCAAAAUCAUGUUUUGUUCCAGGAUCAAGUCCCCUGAAACUAAAGCUAAGAAAAGCCUAACCUUAUAUUUCUUAUAUUGUCUCUUCUUCUUCCCUCAUUCUGCUGUCAGCGUGAUUAGAACCCAAUGUUGCUCUUUGAUCCCUGAUAAUACUGGCCCCAACGGAACCAUAACUAAAGCGCUAGAAGGUCUAACUGGUUUAUCCAAUGAGCUAGACAAAAACUCUGGAAUAGACGACCCUUUCACUAGUUUAAUGGAGAGAUGGUUUGGCGAAUGGAAAGUACUCGGGGCGUCUAUUCUCAUUUCCCUUGCAGUUGUAGUAGGUGUGCUCAUUCUCAUAGGGUGUUGUUUGAUGCCUUGUGUCCGUGGAUUAGUUCGAAAGCUCAUAGCAACAGCUCUUUCCAAAACCUCUCGAAGCUCUCCCCUACCCUAUUCAGGUAAACUUUUACUUCCAAAUCAGCAAGAAGAGAAGAAAAGCCAUGUCCUGGUAAAAGUAUUUGAAGAGGAAGAAUUACAAAAUCAAAAGGGGAAAAAUUGUUAGAAUGAGUUCCUCUUCAGAAAUCUAACUUCCUUAUCCUUGGUUCUGUAAACUGCCCUUAUUUGAAAUAGUGCUUAGAUUGUGCAGUCCAACCCCAGCCAAUGGGGGAAAGACAGAAGUAGGAACCGCGUUAGGGUAAAAAACCCUGCUCUCCUUUGUUAGAUGUGCUCUCACGACGGUUACAGGUGCGGGCAGCACCCUUCUGUAGAAGUAAACUUUGUUGAGAAACUUUU